CCUACGGGCGGCAGCAGUGGGGAAUAUUGCGCAAUGGGCGAAAGCCUGACGCAGCGACGCCGCGUGAGGGAUGAAGGUCUUCGGAUCGUAAACCUCUGUCAGCAGGGAAGAACGGUCACUGUGCUAAUCAGCAGUGAAUUGACGGUACCUGCAAAGGAAGCACCGGCUAACUCCGUGCCAGCAGCCGCGGUAAUACGGAGGGUGCGAGCGUUAAUCGGAAUUACUGGGCGUAAAGCGCUCGUAGGCGGUAUGUCAAGUCAAGGGUGAAAUCCCCGCGCUCAACGUGGGAACUGCCUUUGAAACUGGCAAACUGGAGUGUGUGAGAGGAUAGUGGAAGUCCAGGUGUAGGAGUGAAAUGCGUAGAUAUCUGGAGGAACAUCAGUGGCGAAGGCGACUAUCUGGCACAUAACUGACGCUGAGGAGCGAAAGCGUGGGUAGCAAACAGGAUUAGAUACCCGGGUAGUC
rnacentral:rRNA from 1 species